CAGAGACUGCAAGCGUCAUUCGGAUUCACUGGGCGUAAAGGGUGCGCAGGCGGCCGUGUGUGUGAGGCGUGAAAGCCCGGGGCUUAACCCCGGAAUUGCACCUCAAACUACAUGGCUAGAGCAUUGGAGAGGGUAGCAGAAUUCAUGGUGUAGCAGUGAAAUGCGUAGAUAUCAUGAGGAAUACCAGAGGCGGAGGCGGCUACCUGGACAAUUGCUGACGCUCAGGCACGAAAGCGUGGGGAGCAAAAGGGAUUAGAUACCCCUGUAGUCCACGCCCUAAACGGUGCACACUAGGUCUUGGCGGAUUCGACCCCAUCAGGGCCCAAGCUAACGCGUUAAGUGUGCCGCCUGAGGACUACGGCCGCAAGGCUA
rnacentral:rRNA from 1 species